UUCCGGUUGAUCCUGCCGGAAGCUAUUGCUAUUGGGGUUCGACUAAGCCAUGCGAGUCGAGAGUCAUUUGGACUCGGCGCACUGCUCAGUAACACGUGGUCAAACUGCCCUGUGGAAGGAGAUAACCUCGGGAAACUGAGGAUAAUAUCCUAUAGGUGCCUACAGCUGGAAUGCUUUGGCACUCAAAUGUUCCGACGCCACAGGAUGUGACUGCGGCCGAUUAGGUUGACGGUGGGGUAACGGCCCACCGUGCCGAUAAUCGGUACGGGUUGUGAGAGCAAGAACCCGGAGAUGGGAUCUGAGACACGAUCCCAGGCCCUACGGGGCGCAGCAGGCGCGAAACCUUUGCACUGUGCGAGAGCGCGAUAAGGGAACCCCAAGUGCCCGCGCCAAGCGUGGUCUUUUCUGUACCGUAAAAUGGUACAGGAAUAAGGUCUGGGCAAGACCGGUGCCAGCCGCCGCGGUAACACCGGCAGACCAAGUGUUGGCCGAUAUUAUUGGGCCUAAAGCGUCCGUAGCCUGCCGGGUAAGUCCAUCGGGAAAUCCGCCCGCUCAACGGGCGGACGUCCGGUGGAAACUGCCUGGCUUGGGACCGAGGGACCCGAGGGGUACGUCGGGGGUAGGAGUGAAAUCCUGAGAUCCUCGACGGACCGCCGGUGGCGAAAGCGCCUCGGGAAAGCGGAUCCGACGGUCAGGGACGAAAGCCAAGAUCUCGAACCGGAUUAGAUACCCGGGUAGUCUUGGCCGUAAACAAUGCUCGCUAUGUGUGACGUAGGCUACGAGCCUGCGUUGUGCCGAAGGGAAGCCGCGAAGCGAGCCGCCUGGGAAGUACGUCCGCAAGGAUGAAACUUAAAGGAAUUGGCGGGGGAGCACUACAACGGGAGGAGCCUGCGGUUUAAUUGGACUCAACGCCGGG
rnacentral:rRNA from 1 species